AUGUGUUUCCUAAGACCCCAACAUGGCACACAGAGAUCCCUUACGGCAUCCCUACCGUGUUACUCUACUGCUCACUGCAUUUCUUCUCUGCCUGACCCUACUGGGACCUACUCUUUGCCCUUUGGGAAGUGUGAGAGGGAUAGCUGGGACCUUCUCUGUGAACCUCCUGCCUUGGACGGGGUGACAGUCCUUCUCCAUCUGAACCAAAUGGACAUGCUGAGAUUCCACAUCUGGAGACGGAUGAGUUUUAGAGAACGCGUCCCUCGGAGGACCUUCUGGGCCCAGCACGCUCCAUGGGGGCGUAGGCGCUAUUAUGGUACAGAGGACACCCCAACAGUGCUGCCCCCCGACUGCCCGCCCUCUCCAUGCAACCCCUACAGCACUGCCCCCACCCUGACCUGCUCGCCCUCCCCGUGCACCUCCACAUUGCUGCCGCCCACCUGCUCGCCCUCCCCGUGCACCCCAACAGUGCCCCCCACCUGCUCGCCCCCAUUUCCCGGCUCCCUCCCUUUUUCCUUCUUUCUCUGCCUCUGUAUGGCCCCCUCUGCUCUGAUUGAUCCAAGGUCACUCCUCAGAGACCGCGCCCUGGGACUCCAGGCCUUUGGUCCUAUUCCUUCUUUUCACUGUGCACCUUUCAAAGGCCAGGUUAUAAUCUGAAAUCAGAGACUUACUUUAUCAUCAUUUGACUGAGCCCCAGGUGUCCCUGUGUUACAAGGGCAGGCCCAGGAGGGCAGGGAACCUCCUGCUUUGUUCCAGUAACACGCAGGGAGCUGCUGUGUGGCAGGCCCCUCCACCUGGUCCGGUAGGGAAGCUACCAGCCACAGUUGGUUAUUUUAAAUCAAGAAAAAUUAAAACAAAAUUAGAGAUUCAGUUCUCCCUCACUCUGGGCACAUUCCAAGCACUCGCUGCCUUUGCGGGUCUGGUUGCCGCUGCAUCGGGUCAUGGAGGAUGUGAGGCAUCUACCCCUGCACAGCGUUAUGUUGAGUGACCAAGGUCUAGCGCCCAAGGAGCCUCCCGUGAACCAGAACAUCUAACCUCCGUGGAUGGUCUUCUCUGACGGUCCAUGCGGUGUCCGCAGUGUCAAGGCCGCCGGGCCUGCCCAGAGUAGAUGCUCACCCAGUAUUUGGGAGAGGAAACCAAUAGAUGGUUUUCCUACAAGUUCAGCACUCGGAAGUUACCAAGUGCAUGCAUAACUGGAGAAUUCAUCCUAACAUGCCUACAUGGAGUAGACGAUGUAUGGGUAUUCAGGAGCCUGUUGCACUAAUUAUUUACUAAUUAUUUAUGCUCUGUGUUUUGAGAUUGCUAAAUAGGAAAAUAAACUGUGGGUAAUUACCGACCAUUCAGCAGCCUCUCCAUGGCAUCUCAUUCUAACGCUGCGGACUGCAGCCCCAUCACUCCUGAUGGCAGUGUGGGCAGCACAGGAUGAUGCUCUGAGCUCAGGCUGUCCAUCCGGCCCUGCCUGUGGGAUAAUUGCAAGUUGGUCUCUGUUUGGGGUAGCCUGGGACUUACCGUGGAAUACAUCAGAAAUCACGCGAAAUGGUGGCUCUGUCGGUAAAGCGUCUGCCUUCGGCUCAAGUCGUGAUCCCAGGUCCUGGGAUCAAGUCCUGUGUGGGGCUCUCUGCUCAGCGGGGAGUCUGCUUCUCCCUCUGCCCCUCCUCCUACCCACCUGCUUUCUCUCUUUCUCUCUCUCUCUCUCAAAUGAAAUCUUUUUUUCUUUUCUUUUUUUUUCAAAUGAAAUCUUAAAAAAAAAUCACACUUAAAAAUCAGCUUCAAUAUUCAAUACACAGAGGUACUCAUUUGUGUAAUUUUGAACAAGGUUGUGCACUUUCCGUACUUGUACUUUAUUGCACGGUCUAAGGAGUGGAAACUCGUCGUGAUGAUGAAAUUUAUACGUCAUCCUGGUGUGGCCCCAUGGGCCUAGACAUCUGGCUACAUGUUAUUCCUGGGUAUGUGUGUGAGAGUGUUUCUGGAAGGGGUUGACAUGUGAGAUCAGGCUCAGGGUAAAGCCCAUGGUCCUCCUGCCCCCCAUGUGCACAGGUCAUAUCCUCUCUGGCCAACGGAACAGAUAAAAAGGCAGAGGAAGGCUGGAUUCACUGUGCCUAACUGCUGAGCUGGGAUGUAGACCCUCUCCUGCCCCUGGCCUCCCACUCUCAGGACAUCACAUGGCCCUUGGCUUUCUUGGGGGUCCAGCCUGCAGGUGACAGACACCAGAUCUCACCCUCAUGAUAGGUGGUGUGGGCCUCACCUUACAGUAAAUGUCUCUAUCAACAUGUGUAACACCCUCCCAGGUGCUUCUCUGGGAGCCCUAAUGCAAGUUUUUUACAAAGAUGAAUCCCUGGGGUCGAGGACCCUUCGAUAGAGGUAGACCAUCCAGAGCGCUGGUCUAGCAGGCGAUCACUGCUUGCUUUGCCAGAGCUACUCCUUCUAGAUUCUGCGCUUCAUUGAAAACCCCAUGCAAAAACUAAGGAGAGGGGAGAAAUGUCCCGUGCGACAUGCCCAAAUGCAGACUGGAAGGGGAGGAUAGGAAUUAAAAACUUCAAAUGGAAAAUUGCUCUGAGACAUAUCAUCCAAAAUCCACUUAACAUUAGGCCAGGGGAAUAUUGUGUAUUACAAAGUAAUUUUGCAAAUCACAUUUCAAAGAUAUCAUUUUAAUCUAAUUUAAGUGCAUUCUAUUGUGAUUCUCUACAUAGUGCUUGUGAAUAAAAAUCCAAUUACUGUAGCUAGACAAAUUAAAAUUUUUUCUGAACGCCAGCAAUAUUUUCUUCCUUCCUUCCUGAGAAUGCCAAAAGAUAUUGCUCCAUCUUUCAGAAAGCAAAGACCUAUCUAUGCGUCACUUUGGAGGGUCUGAAAUAACUUCCCUGUUCUUGUGAAUUUCUGCCGAAAUGGGUCUCGGUCCACAAAGCAGGGCCAUCCAUAUCCACGCUGCUGGCAUCAGGGCCCCAGGUCCCCAUGCCGCCCUUGGGGAUUAACUUUGUUGCCAUCAAGUGGUGACAGAAAGACAGUUAAUCAAUCUGAACUAUUCCAUUGAGCCAGACACUAGAAACUAGUUAUAUACAUUAUACAUUUCCAAGUCCUUUCAUUUUUUUUUCUGAGAAAUUCAUGCUUUAAACAAUCGAACCUUAGCUGGGUAUGUUACAUCUUCCAUAUAUCAGAAAUCAAAUAGGAAAAAAAGUCUUUCUUUCAGCCUUUACAAUCUGUGUAGGAAUCUGCACAAAGUUGACUCUUCUUUCUAUUUCUUUUUAUAGCUUUUCUGUCUUGUCUGUGUGCUUUUUUUCCCCCCUUGGGGACUGUAUUUUCCUCUGCUUCUGGCUCUUUGGUUGGACUCAGCUCAUUAAUCCUCUGGCUAAGUGUUUUGCUCUACUUGGAUGAUAUGUUCCCUGUUCUUCAGUGUUUGUUUUUUUUUUCAAGUUCUUUGUGCAUUUUUCUGCAGGGGAGAGGAGACCAUGAGAAAAGUUGCCAAAGUCUCCACAAGUUUAAUUUAGGU
rnacentral:lncRNA from 1 species